GAGGGCUUGACUUUAUGUGUCUGGAAAACUGAGGACCGUUGUCACUCACCACCUCAUCAGGAAUCCCAAAUCUGGUGAAGACAGCUUUCAAAUUCUGGGUGACAUAGGAUGUUGUAGUGGAAGGGCCGUUCGGGGAACAGUGUGGAGAUCAGUGGCUCUUUCUGCUGGUGAUGCCAUGUAGACAGAGAAGAGAAGUGGUCCAAGAACUGAGCCCUGAGGCACCCCAGUAGCUAAAUGUUGCGACUUGGACACCUCACCUCUCCAAGAUACCUUGAAGGACCUAUCUGAGAGAUAUUAAGGAUGAUUCAAGAAAUGCAGUACAUGGACUGGGAAAAACUGUCAUUUGUGUUUCCUGCUAGUUAAAUGUCAAAUACAUAAACAAAG